rnacentral:rRNA from 1 species
AUUCCAGCUCCAAUAGCGUAUAUUUAAGUUGUUGCAGUUAAAAAGCUCGUAGUUGGAUUUCGGUUGAGAGCGGCCGGUCCGCCGUUUGGUGUGCACUGGCUGGUCUCAACUUCCUGCGGAGGACGCGCUCUGGGCUUAACGGUCUGGACGUGGAGUCCGCGUGGUUACUUUGAAAAAAUUAGAGUGUUCAAAGCGGGCUUACGCUUGAAUAUUUCAGCAUGGAAUAACACUAUAGGACUCCUGUCCUAUUUCGUUGGUUUCUAGUACUGAAGUAAUGAUUGAUAGGGAUAGUUGGGGGUGCUAGUAUUGAGCGGCCAGAGGUGAAAUUCUUGGAUUCGCUCAAGACUAACUUAUGCGAAAGCAUUCACCAAGGAUGUCUUCAUUA